UACGAAGGGGGCUAGCGUUGCUCGGAAUUACUGGGCGUAAAGCGCACGUAGGCGGCUUUCUAAGUCGGGGGUGAAAUCCUGGAGCUCAACUCCAGAACUGCCUUCGAUACUGGAAAGCUCGAGUCCGGGAGAGGUGAGUGGAACUGCGGGUGUAGAGGUGAAAUUCGUAGAUAUUCGCAAGAACACCAGUGGCGAAGGCGGCUCACUGGCCCGGUACUGACGCUGAGGUGCGAAAGCCAGGGGAGCAAACGGG
rnacentral:rRNA from 1 species